CUCUGACAUCAGCAUCCACACACUGACCACCCAACCACACUGUCAGACCCUCUGAGGCUCCGUGUGCACGCAGUCAGUACAACUUACUUCGUCCACUCUAAAACUACCGAAAACAUCGCCUAGUCUUUGUUUGUUUGAUGAGGAAACAGAAACCAGACAGGCAGCCAUAUACCUAAGGUCACACAGCUAGUGACCAUACAAUUGGACCUAAAACACCAUCAGAAAACCCGGACUUGGUCUCAGUGGGUUCCUUCAGGGAAGUCAAGGUACUUCUAAACUCUCUGGGCUUCCAGCAUCUGCCUUUCUAAAUGGCUUCAUUUUCUUCAUAGCAGUCUUAACUACCUGACUUUCUAUUUGUUUGUUUGUGGUCUGUCCCGCGCUGGAAGGCUGGCUCCCAGGUCAGGGACCUGGGCUAUUUCACCGUCAGUUGUCUCCCCACCACCCACCACCCACCAGUAAAUGGGCACCUGUGAGGACCUGUGGAGGGUUUCCUGUAGGACUUUUACACCAAGGAGAAAAUUCGGUGAAGAAUCGCGGCAGUUGGUUUGGGAGUCGAGUGUUAGGCAGAAUCUUUGCGUCCGUUCAAAUCACCCUUCUCAGGACUCAAAAGAGGUGGAAAGCGACUCCGCCUUCUUAUGAAUAUGCAACAGCAACGGGUUGGGAGGAAGCUUGAGAGAAAAACGCUGCAAGAAAUUCAACCUGAGCCGGCCUGAAACGCCUGUGGCAGGCCGCCCCCCACACCCCGUCCUUCGGGGGCCGUCAAA
rnacentral:lncRNA from 1 species